rnacentral:tRNA from 1 species
GCCGCCAUGGUGGAAUUGGUAGACACAACAGACUUAAAAUCUGUCGGCCCUCGAGCUGUCCCGGUUCGAGUCCGGGUGGCGGCACCA